CACGACCCACAUCCAGAAUGUUCAGUGGUGCACGUGUAAUAAAUGUAGGACACCCCUUCUGUAAACCGCGCGAGAGAGGGCGCGAGCUGAGAGGAGGGUCGCGCGAGAUAACGGCGCUCAGCAUCCUCUCUCUCUCUGCUCAAACACAAUGCAGUGAUGGAGCACUUCGCGUUGCGGCAUUAAAAAACAAAAAACAAAGAAGAAGCACGAAUCCUUUUUUGUUUUUCUGUGGAUCUGAAGGAUCGCAAUAAAAAUGUAGGAGAGAGGGACACUCAGGGCUGCGGGUGGAUCAGGAUGGAAUGGCUUGAUGAAUCAGGGUUACCGAGCUGGCCUGCAAGCGAGAGGGAAUGCAUUGUCGAUCAACAGGGCAAUGUGUGCAGGAACACUGGUCACGUGACAGAUUAUCUGAGUGAUGACACAGAGAAAGCACCAUCGCUUCAAGCUCACACACUGAGAGAAUUUGAACAG